rnacentral:rRNA from 1 species
AGGGAUUGCCCUAGUAACGGCGAGUGAAGCGGCAACAGCUCAAAUUUGAAAUCUGGCUUCGGCCCGAGUUGUAAUUUGCAGAGGAUGCUUCUGGCGCGGUGCCUUCCGAGUUCCCUGGAACGGGACGCCACAGAGGGUGAGAGCCCCGUAUGGUCGGACACCAAGCCUGUGUGAAGCUCCUUCGACGAGUCGAGUAGUUUGGGAAUGCUGCUCUAAAUGGGAGGUAAAUCUCUUCUAAAGCUAAAUACCGGCCAGAGACCGAUAGCGCACAAGUAGAGUGAUCGAAAGAUGAAAAGCACCUUGAAAAGGGGGUUAAAUAGUACGUGAAAUUGUUGAAAGGGAAGCACUUGUGACCAGACUUGGGCCGGGCGGCUCAUCAGGGGUUCUCCCCUGUGCACUCCGCCCGGCACAGGCCAGCAUCGGUUCUCGUGGGGGGAUAAGACCGUUAGGAACGUAGCACCCUCCGGGGUGUGUUAUAGCCUGGCGGACGAUACCCCCGUGGGGACCGAGGUUCGCGCUCCGCAAGGAUGCUGGCGUAAUGGUCACCAGUGACCC